UUCGCUUUGGCCGAGUGGUUAAGGCGUGUGCCUGCUAAGUACAUUGGGUUUUCCCGCGAGAGUUCGAAUCUCUCAGGCGACG
rnacentral:tRNA from 1 species